rnacentral:rRNA from 1 species
GCAGCAGUCGCCGCGGUAAUACGGAGGGUGCAAGCGUUGUCCGGAUUUAUUGGGUUUAAAGGGUGCGUAGGCGGCCUAAUAAGUCAGUGGUGAAAGCCUCCAGCUUAACUGGAGAACUGCCAUUGAUACUGUUAGGCUUGAGUAUACUUGAGGUAGGCGGAAUUGACAGUGUAGCGGUGAAAUGCAUAGAUAUUGUCAAGAACACCAAUUGCGAAGGCAGCUUACUAAAUUAUAACUGACGCUGAGGCACGAAAGUGUGGGUAUCAAACAGGAUUAGAUACCCCAGUAGUCCCUGUCUCUUAUAA